UCCCAGUAGUAAGGGGUUUGGAGAGCUCCCAGGUGGGUGAAGGCGUCCACGUACCAGGAAGGUGACACACCCCAACUUCAUGGACAGAAGCUCCUAAGCUCAGGAUCCUCCCAGACAUCGCCCUGUGGAUCUCAUCUGGCUGUUCAUCUGUAUCCUUUACUGUACCCUUUAAUAAUCUGGUAAAUAUCUACAAGCCACAUGGAAUCUAUUUUUCUUUAUGGUAUGAGAUAGAAGCGAAGAUUUAUUUUUUGACCAGAUGGACAUCUAAUUGGCCCAGAAUCACUUGAUGAAAAGACCAUCCUUUCACCGUUGCACUUCAGUAUUCUUUUUAUCAUAACCAAGGAGCUGUCUGUGUGUGAGUCUUAGAGGACAAGUUUUUAAAAAAUCAAUUAAAAUUCACAAAGUCAUGUAGCCAGAGGAUGUGCAGAAGAAGAAAUCUUGACCUGAAAUGACCAUGAAUCCAAAGGUUCUAUGGCCGAGAUUUCCCUGCGAUAAAAGACAGAUUAACAAGAGAAAAACAAACGGAAAUUUAUUAACAUGCAUGCCUCAUUUAUACGUGGGAGAUGCUCGGGAAACCUGACUAAAACUCUCCAAAAUGGCCCAAGCUACCUCCUUGAACACCAUCUUCAGGGAGGACAAAAGAAAGAUGUUGAGGGUAGGAGAAGUAAGGAGGCCAGCUACGGAAAGUCAUCAGGAAAAACGCGGUGAGCGAGGGUGAGGUUGUUAGGCAGAUUUAAGUCUGUUCUUUCUCCAUUGAUAAGCGUUUCUUGUGGUUUGGAGUCAUCCUUCUCUUCCUGGCACAGAGAAGGAGACUCCUAAAAAUGGAGGUUUCCUUUACAAAACAGUAAAUUCUGCUCUGUAGAGCUUCUCUUGUGUCUGCUGUUUCUUAAAAAAUAAACAGCUCAGAAUAAUUCUUAUGCCAAAGAGACAUAUUUUGAGCUGGUAAGUCCUGCUCCCCUCCAGUCCUGCCUUUGAAACUUCUGUAAGAAUUUUCAGUCCAGAAGAUGAGUUGGUGGAUUUCUCCAGCUCAUUGAACCCGUUCCUUAGUCCUGAGAAUAGCUCAGUUCAGUUAACGAGUUGUGUCUCAUUUCAGGAGCUGGUGAUGCAGGCAGGCUCCCAAAGUUACACCUAUAUGAUUCGAGAAAUCAGGUAUUUAACAAAAGGCAUUUCUAUGGAAACAAAAGAAAAACGAAUGUUAAUGUUUGGAGCAGACUAUAAACCCAAUUUCUGAGUCCUGAGGGCGGCCAGUGAUUUAUAGAUGUUGGGCUCGAAGCACGUUUUGGAGUUUGAUUGUCUCUGGUGAUGUCAUCAGGUGCUCCGGUAAACUUUCUGAGUGCCUCAGCAACAAGCAUGCAGGUUGUCCAUACAUGAGCUGUUGCAGUGAUUUCUCUGAAGUUCCUAUCAAGUCGUCCAGCUUCAUUUUGCAGGGAAAAGGGCAGUGUUUGUUCUUAGUGACAAAGUCGGAAGGGUGGAAGAGAAUUGGAACUGUGAGCUUGGAGUGUCAUAGGCAGAUACUUGAGGGAACUAGAAAAAUUCAGGAUACAGUCCAGUUUGCAGGUAAAGAAUGAAACCUCAAAGACAAUUACCAGGACUAGAAUCUAGUAUUCACCAAAGAUGUGCUAGUGAACAUAAUUUUUCUCACAGACUGCUUAUUGGCAACAAGAGAAAAAAAAUGCCUAACUAUAAUGUGAACAACCUAGACCAACACCUUGACCAGGAGAUCAAAAUUAACUUCACAAAUGAGGAACAGAUGGCAUACACAUUGUGUGCCUCCAGAUGUGGUCGCCUGAGGACACAACAUCACUAAUGUACUAUUCUAGCUAGGAUGCAUAAUCUGAAACUAACCAUGAGGAAAUGUUAGACAAACUCAAAAUAAGGAAUAUUCAAGUUUUGAAAUGGAGGGCCAACUUGCUUCAACUAUACUCAGCUGUUUGUUUGCAAAAGUAGUUAGAUAAUGCAUUACUAAAACCCACCCUGUAGACAACAUCUCUGAGGCUUGGGUCACCAUGGUGACGAGUGGACUCCUUGGGUAUCAGGGGUAAAUAUGAUAGGAAAAUGGUUCAGAAAAAUAUGCAUAUUCUCUUUCUGAGUUUAAAACUCUCUCUCUAUUUAUCUAGAGAGACAGAGAUACAUGAAGGGAAUAAUGACCCACCAGAAUUGCAUAAAGAUUACUUU
ensembl:lncRNA